AGAAACCCUAGCUCCUCUUGCCGUCUCUAUAAAUCACCUUUCGAUUAUCAACAAUCUCCUCCAUCAUCGUCUUGCACAGGGUUUGAUUUGGCUAUGAUGAUAACAUAUUAUCCCAGCUCAUUAUGAGGCCUUUUGUGGCCAAGGAAAAUAACUGUUUUCUAUAACAUAUCUGAGCCAUAAAACCUUAAAUUAACAUUCUUGUUUUGAUAUUAUUAGUUUAAUAUGAAUUUUAUUAUACGUAUAGGCUUUAAAUCUUGUUCCCUAUGAUGAUUUAAAAUCAAUACCAUGCUAAUGUAUAUCUGAUAAUUUUUUUAUUUGAUUUAUAAGUGAUUUGCUGAGGGAGCAAAUGUUUUAAAGUUUUUGUUUUGGGUUAUGAUCUUGUUGAAGUUAAGGAUUCCCUAUGAUGGUAUUAACCAUGCUAAUACUGAUGUCUUAUGACUGAAUCAAAGUUAUGUGUCUGAGGGAAUUUCUUAAGAAUUUUCUUCCUAGGUUUUUAAAGAGAUCUUCUUAGAAGAAUAAGAAAACCCAUAAAACCAGUCACCGCCAAAAUUAUGUAAAUAAAUAGACUGUUUAGAGAAAAAAAUUCAAUUCAUUAUGGUAAAUUCUUUAUUCUAUUCUUUUUUACAAAAAAAAAAAAGGUUGUUAUGCAUCUAUGCCACACUAGUUAUAUAUUCUACCAUCCCAUUAAAUAAGUGAAAGAUUAAAAUUCAUCUUGAUCUCUGAGAUUUUGAUCCAACAAGCACAUUUAUAAUUUAGGCGUACUAAAUCUUCUGAGUUCUUUGAACCCACUACAAUGUGGAUAUGCACCCACCAAGCCUUGUUCAGUUAUUGAGGAGUCCAUGAAGCUCAAAACGUUUAAGAGUUAAGCCCAUAUGAACGGUGUUGAAUAUGAACGGUGUUGAAUCGACUAAUAUUGUUCAUAUCGAGUGUAUUUGGACUAGAAUGUAUGAGCCCAAUGGGCUUGGAUUCAAACACUUUGCCACAUCAA